AUUGAACGCUGGCGGCAUGCUUUACACAUGCAAGUCGAACGGCAGCGCGGGCUUCGGCCUGGCGGCGAGUGGCGAACGGGUGAGUAAUACAUCGGAACGUGCCCAGUCGUGGGGGAGGCCUGGCGGAAGGCGGGUUUAUACCGCAUAACAACUGAUGGUUGAAACCGGGGGUUCUUGGGCCUUGGGCGCUUCGGGCGGCCGGUUGGCGGAUUAGCUAGUUGGUGGGGUAAAGGCCCACCAAGCCGACGAUUGGUAGCGGGUCUGAGAGGACGACCAGCCACACUGGGAGUGAGGCACGGCCCACACUCUGACGGGAGGCAGCAGUGGGGAAUUUUGGACAAUGGGCGAAAGCCUGAUCCAGCAAUGCCGCGUGUGUGAUGAAGGCCUUCGGGUUGUAAAGCACUUUUGGCGGGAACGAAAAGGACUGUGCCAAUACCACGGUUCGAUGACGGUACCCGCAGAAUAAGCACCGGCUAACUACGUG
rnacentral:rRNA from 1 species